rnacentral:sRNA from 1 species
GUAAGUUGUUCUACGUCUCAAUGACAAUUUUUAGCGUAAGUCUCUUUGAAUAAGAGUCAUUUUCCCUGGGCCGAGUAGAGGAGUGAACUCGGCCUUUUUUU